AGUUUCUGCGAAAUUUCGCAGAAAGACUAUAUUGUUGAGAGGAAACUUCCUCUUAAUUUCCCAUACCACUUACUUCUUGUCCUCUUAUCCUCUCCCUCUCUCUACAAAAAUCUCCAUGAUCAUACUGUUCGGCUUUUUUAGCAAAUCGUUCUCUCCAUCUCUAAUGUCCACAGAAUCAAUUUUCUCUCCGUCGGUUUCGGGUGAUUAGUUAGUCAAGCAACGCUUUCAUUUCACCAAAAUAACAGCUGUGUAUUUUUCAUCGUCGUUAUUGUUUCCGUUUUCCGUUCUUAUUUUGGAUCCCUCAGCUUCCGCUUCAUUCAAGUCUCUCAGCAUGUUUCAACAUCAACAACCAUCGGGAAAUGCCAACAAUCAUUCUCCCAACAACCACCGCCACCACAACCACCACUAUCACGGUGAGGAGGCCGCCGGCGGCCCCGGCUCCGCCAAGUUUGGGGACCAUGAAUCGUCAGGCGAUCCCUUUGUUAUUCCGCAAACCAAAAAUGCCUCUCUCGAGAAGCGAUGGAGGGUAAUUACAUUCCAAUGCCAUUGUUGCCUUUUUAUCGUUUCAUAUUUAUUUAUUUAUUUAUCUAUCUAUAUAUGCAUUUAGCAAUGUAACAUUCUUUUAGUGUAAGACUUUUAGGGAUUUAUUAAUGCACGUGAUAAAAACUGCGACAUGUUCUUUUUGACCUCAUGAUAGAGAACAAUUACGCUUUAUACAAUGUUUUUUUUGUUAGAUAGCUUCUAGAUCUGAUUGUAAAAAUCGAAAUAUUUUGGUUUUGGUCUCUUAUUUUAGCUGGGAUUCUGGUGUUUUAAUUAUUAUGGUUUACGUAUUUAUUUUGGGAUGAA